UUCAAGUGCGUAGGCUUGAGAGUUAGGUAAAUCCGGCUCUCUUUAAGGCUGAGACACGACGUCGAGCUGCUACGGCAGUGAAGUCAUUGAUGCCAUGCUUCCAGGAAAAGCCUCUAAGCUUCAGAUAGUCAGGAAUCGUACCCCAAACCGACACAGGUGGUCGGGUAGAGAAUACCAAGGCGCUUGAGAGAACUCGGGUGAAGGAACUAGGCAAAAUGGUACCGUAACUUCGGGAGAAGGUACGCUCUUGAUGGUGAAGUCCCUCGCGGAUGGAGCUGACGAGAGUCGCAGAUACCAGGUGGCUGCAACUGUUUAUUAAAAACACAGCACUGUGCAAAAUCGCAAGAUGACGUAUACGGUGUGACGCCUGCCCGGUGCCGGAAGGUUAAUUGAUGGGGUUAGCGCAAGCGAAGCUCUUGAUCGAAGCCCCGGUAAACGGCGGCCGUAACUAUAACGGUCCUAAGGUAGCGAAAUUCCUUGUCGGGUAAGUUCCGACCUGCACGAAUGGCGUAAUGAUGGCCACGCUGUCUCCACCCGAGACUCAGUGAAAUUGAAAUCGCUGUGAAGAUGCAGUGUACCCGCGGCUAGACGGAAAGACCCCGUGAACCUUUACUACAGCUUGGCACUGAACAUUGAACCUACAUGUGUAGGAUAGGUGGGAGGCUAUGAAGACGUGACGCCAGUUGCGUUGGAGCCGUCCUUGAAAUACCACCCUUGUAUGUUUGAUGUUCUAACUUAGACCCAUUAUCUGGGUUGAGGACAGUGCCUGGUGGGUAGUUUGACUGGGGCGGUCUCCUCCCAAAGAGUAACGGAGGAGCACGAAGGUGGGCUAAUCACGGUUGGACAUCGUGAGGUUAGUGCAAUGGCAUAAGCCCGCUUAACUGCGAGAAUGACGGUUCGAGCAGGUGCGAAAGCAGGUCAUAGUGAUCCGGUGGUUCUGUAUGGAAGGGCCAUCGCUCAACGGAUAAAAGGUACUCCGGGGAUAACAGGCUGAUACCGCCCAAGAGUUCAUAUCGACGGCGGUGUUUGGCACCUCGAUGUCGGCUCAUCACAUCCUGGGGCUGAAGUCGGUCCCAAGGGUAUGGCUGUUCGCCAUUUAAAGUGGUACGCGAGCUGGGUUUAGAACGUCGUGAGACAGUUCGGUCCCUAUCUGCCGUGGGCGUUGGAAGAUUGAAGGGGGCUGCUCCUAGUACGAGAGGACCGGAGUGGACGAACCUCUGGUGUUCGGGUUGUGUCGCCAGACGCAUUGCCCGGUAGCUAAGUUCGGAAUUGAUAAGCGCUGAAAGCAUCUAAGCGCGAAGCGAGCCCUGAGAUGAGUCUUCCCUGACAGUUUAACUGUCCUAAAGGGUUGUUCGAGACUAGAACGUUGAUAGGCAGGGUGUGUAAGCGUUGUGAGGCGUUGAGCUAACCUGUACUAAUUGCCCGUGAGGCUUAACCAU
rnacentral:rRNA from 1 species